CAGUCGCCGCGGUAAUACGGAGGGUGCAAGCGUUAAUCGGAAUUACUGGGCGUAAAGCGCACGCAGGCGGUCUGACAAGUCAGAUGUGAAAUCCCCGGGCUUAACCUGGGAACUGCAUUUGAAACUGUCAGGCUGGAGUCUUGUAGAGGGGGGUGGAAUUCCAGGUGUAGCGGUGAAAUGCGUAGAGAUCUGGAGGAAUACCGGUGGCGAAGGCGGCCCCCUGGACAAAGACUGACGCUCAGGUGCGAAAGCGUGGGGAGCAAACAGGAUUAGAUACCCCGGUAGUCCCUGUCUCUUAUCC
rnacentral:rRNA from 1 species